rnacentral:rRNA from 1 species
CAGUCGAGCGAGUCUGCCUUGAAGAUCGGAGUGCUUGCACUCUGUGAAACAAGAUACAGGCUAGCGGCGGACGGGUGAGUAACACGUGGGUAACCUGCCCAAGAGAUCGGGAUAACACCUGGAAACAGAUGCUAAUACCGGAUAACAACAGAUGAUGCCUAUCAACUGUUUAAAAGAUGGUUCUGCUAUCACUCUUGGAUGGACCUGCGGUGCAUUAGCUAGUUGGUAGGGUAACGGCCUACCAAGGCGAUGAUGCAUAGCCGAGUUGAGAGACUGAUCGGCCACAUUGGGACUGAGACACGGCCCAAACUCCUACGGGAGGCAGCAGUAGGGAAUCUUCCACAAUGGACGCAAGUCUGAUGGAGCAACGCCGCGUGAGUGAAGAAGGGUUUCGGCUCGUAAAGCUCUGUUGUUGGUGAAGAAGGACGGGGGUAGUAACUGACCUUUGUUUGACGGUAAUCAAUUAGAAAGUCACGGCUAACUACGUGCCAGCAGCCGCGGUAAUACGUAGGUGGCAAGCGUUGUCCGGAUUUAUUGGGCGUAAAGCGAGUGCAGGCGGUUCGAUAAGUCUGAUGUGAAAGCCUUCGGCUCAACCGGAGAAUUGCAUCAGAAACUGUCGAGCUUNNNNACAGAAGAGGAGAGUGGAACUCCAUGUGU